GAUGAAGAACCUAGCGAAAUGCGAUACUUGGUGUGAAUUGCAGAAUCCCGUGCACCAUCGAGUCUUUGAACGCAAGUUGCGCCUCAAGCCAUUAGGUUGAGGGCACGUCUGCCUGGGCGUCACAUAUCGUUGCCUGAUGCCAGUUUCCUCGUGAUGGGUGACUGUGCAGGGCGAAUGAUGGCUUCCCGUGAGCAUUGUUGCCUCAUGGUUGGUUGAAAAUUGAGUCCUUGGUAGGGAGCGCCGUGAUAGAUGGUGGUUGAGUGACGAACGAGACCCAAUCAUGUGAGACCCCUACCGAAUUUGGCCUUCAUGACCCACAUGCGUCUUUGGAACGCUCAUGACGAGACCUCAGGUCAGGCGGGGCUACCCGCUGAGUUUAAGCAUAUCAAUAAGCGGAGGA
rnacentral:misc_RNA from 1 species